CCUACGGGAGUCAGCAGUGAGGAAUAUUUGUCAAUGGACGAGAGUCUGAACCCGCCAAGUAGCGUGAAGGAUGACUGCCCUAUGGGUUGUAAACUUCUUUUAUAUGGGAAUAAAAUGUUCCACGUGUGGGAUUUUUUAUGUACCAUAUUACUAAAGAUCGGCUAACUCCGUGCCAGCACCCGCGGUAAUACGGAGGAUCCGAGCGUUAUCCCGAUUUAUUUGGUUUAAAGGGAGCGUAGGUGGAUUGUUAAGUCAGUUGUGAAAGUUUGCGGCUCAACCGUAAAAUUGCAGUUGAAACUGGCAGUCUUGAGUACAGUAGAGGUGGGCGGAAUUCGUGGUGUAGCGGUGAAAUGCUUAGAUAUCACGAAGAACUCCGAUUGCGAAGGCAGUUCACUGGACUGCAACUGACACUGAGGCUCGAAAGUGUGGGUAUCAAACAGGAUUAGAUACCCCAGUAGUC
rnacentral:rRNA from 1 species